rnacentral:rRNA from 1 species
CAAUAGCGUAUAUUAAAGUUGUUGCAGUUAAAAAGCUCGUAGUUGGACCUUGGACCUGGACAGGCGGUCCGCCUCACGGCGUGUACUGUCUUGCUGGGUCUUUCCUCUUGGUGAUCUGUUGUUUCGGCGGCAGGGAACCAGGACUUUUACUUUGAAAAAAUUAGAGUGUUCAAAGCAGGCUCGACGCCGGAAUAUAUUAGCAUGGAAUAAUAAAAUAGGACGUGCGGUUCUAUUUUGUUGGUUUUUGGAAUCGCCGUAAUGAUUAAUAGGGACAGUCGGGGGCAUUAGUACUCACAUGCUAGAGGUGAAAUUCUUGGAUUUUGUGAAGACUAACUUCUGCGAAAGCAUUUGCCAAGGAUGUUUUCAUUAA